AUUUAACCUUUAAAAUUUUUAUCUUAAAAUUUUAUAAACUUUACUUCUUAAAAAAUAUAUUUAAAUUUAAAUUUUGGAGUUUUUUUUAAUCACUAAUAUUUUCUAAUUUUAUAUUUUUAUUUUAAAUUUAUAGCAAAAAAAAAAUUAAUUAUUUACAACUUUUAAAAAAUACUGUAUAUAGUUACAAUUAUUACACUUAAAAAUUUAAUUCCUUUUACAUAGCAGCAAAAUGUUUAUCUAUUUUUUAUACUUUUUAAAUUUAAAAAUUAUUUAAAACUAACAACUUAAUUUUAUACUAUUAAAAUAACUUGUAUUAAUUUCAUAUAAAUUUUGAUUUUUUUGCUAUUUUUUAAAAAAAUAAUAUAAUUUUUAAAUGAAUAUUAUUUAUACUUUAUAUAAUUUUAAAUUUUUAUAUUUUAUAUAAUUUAAUUUCCUUAUAACUAUAUAGCUAACAUUUAUUUUACUUAAUAUUUUAUAUAUGUUUUAUUUAAUAAAAGCUAAUUUUAUACUUUUAAACUUUAAUGUCUUUAAAUUUAUUUAAAUUAUACUUUUUUAUUUAUAUACACUUUUUUAUUAAUUUAUUCAUAAAAAUAUUUAAAUCCAAGUUUAUUUAAUGCUUUUCUAUUUGUAAUUUAUAAAUUUUUUUUUGUGUAUAUUAUUUUUAAAAAAAUAUUUCUACUUUAUUUUUAAUAACUACACCUUUAAUUUCUAUAUUUGUAGCUAAAUAAUUUAUUAGCUAAUUACUAACUUGUUCCACUAAUUAAUAUUUAUAUAUAUUAUACUAUUAUACAUUAAAUAACUAAUACGUAUUUAAUAUAAUAUUUAUACAUGUUAAAGGGCAAGUCCUUUUUUACUUUACAUUUAAUUUUAAAAUUUUCAUAUUAUAAAUUAAAAAUUGUAUGUUUGGUUGGGAUAACAUAAUAUCUUAUUAUAUUAUUUAAAAAUAGAUCUUAAUUAUUAGCAAUUAUAUAAGUCUUAAAAAGGUUAACAAGCAUACUUUGUAUAAAUGUGUUUCUUCGUCUACUUAUGUAUUAUUAAUUAUUAAUAUACUUAAAAAAGUUGUUCACUUUUCUAUACAUUCAUUAGUUGGGUUAAAAUCGUUGUAAAGCAGAUUUUUUAAUAUUUACUUAUUUUUCUUCUUACAAACUCCGUACUUAGUACGAGAGGACUAUAUUUU
rnacentral:rRNA from 1 species